CUAGAAGAUAUGAAGCAGCUAGAAGUCAGGGCUGUUCUGCAUAGUGUACUUUCCUUGAACAGAGGUUAUAGAUAUUAUCUCCCUGCUGUAGUAAAAUGUUUAAUACUCUCCUGGGAAGAUGUCACUUCCAGCUCCUGGCAUAGUGAGGUCUGAAAUAGUUUCCCCUCAACACAUGCCUGUGACAGCCUCUGUGAAGACUUGCUUGGCACUGAAUUAAAAGUCCCUUAUGAAGAUGAUGAUAAAGAGCCACAAGCAAAAGUUUUUCUAAACCACGUACCAGCAAUGUACGAAAGUAAGUGAUAAUCUGUCCCAGUGGUAGAGAAAGGUUUUCAAUCUUUCCUUGGAAUAAAUCCCUUCACAGCUACAGUCAGCUGAGUUCAGCAGGAACAUGCUUUCAUAACAUGGGAGAGAGAGCCUGAGUGAAGGAAAUGAACUGCCAUGUGUGUAAAGGAAGUUACUAGGUCGAUCCUAAAGAGAUAUAGGCCGGAGCUUUUCUGCACAGUGUACUUUCUUUGAAUAUGUGUUAUAUAUAUUCUCUCCCAGCAGCAGUGGGAUGUUAGAAGAUCUCCUGGGAAAAUUUCACUCUCCAACUCCUGGCAUGGACAAUCCAACUUUUGCCUUCUCUUGGGAAAAUAUCUUCCUCUUCCUGAGAUGCCACAUGGAGGUGAACUGGAAGAAAAAGAGCAAAAACUGGUCAGUUUUCAUGUACUUAAUUCAUAGUUAAAUACAUAUAAGUUUUCACAGUUUAUUUUCUUGGAGAUUUUGACACUUGUCCAGCUUGUCCUGUGUUGUGAAGUACAUGGUGUGCUUCCUUAAGCAUAAUAGCACUUGUAUAUUUUUAUGUAAUUUAAAAACUUGAGUGAGAUUCAAUAAACAUUGUAAAAAACCAUAAUUUUAAAAGAUC
rnacentral:lncRNA from 1 species